rnacentral:circRNA from 1 species
AACUAUUAUGGAGCUGCUAAGAUGAUAUUUUCUGACAACCCACUUGGUCUGACUUGUGGAAUGGUAUGUCCAACCUCUGAUCUUUGUGUAGGUGGAUGCAAUUUAUAUGCCACUGAAGAGGGACCCAUUAAUAUUGGUGGAUUGCAGCAAUUUGCUACUGAGGUAUUCAAAGCAAUGAGUAUCCCACAGAUCAGAAAUCCUUCGCUGCCUCCCCCAGAAAAAAUGUCUGAAGCCUAUUCUGCAAAGAUUGCUCUUUUUGGUGCUGGGCCUGCAAGUAUAAGUUGUGCUUCCUUUUUGGCUCGAUUGGGGUACUCUGACAUCACUAUAUUUGAAAAACAAGAAUAUGUUGGUGGUUUAAGUACUUCUGAAAUUCCUCAGUUCCGGCUGCCGUAUGAUGUAGUGAAUUUUGAGAUUGAGCUAAUGAAGGACCUUGGUGUAAAGAUAAUUUGCGGUAAAAGCCUUUCAGUGAAUGAAAUGACUCUUAGCACUUUGAAAGAAAAAGGCUACAAAGCUGCUUUCAUUGGAAUAG